rnacentral:tRNA from 1 species
GGGGAUAUAGCUCAGUUGGCUAGAGCGCUUGCAUGGCAUGCAAGAGGUCCGCGGUUCGAGUCCGCGUAUCUCCACCA